rnacentral:rRNA from 1 species
CGGCGGAGCAUGCGGAUUAAUUCGAUGCAACGCGAAGAACCUUACCAAGGCUUGACAUACACCGGUAACGCCCAGAGAUGGGUGCCCCUUUGUGGUCGGUGUACAGGUGGUGCAUGGUUGUCGUCAGCUCGUGUCGUGAGAUGUUGGGUUAAGUCCCGCAACGAGCGCAACCCUCGUCCUAUGUUUGCCAGCGGGUCAUGCCGGGGACUCAUGGGAGACUGCCGGGGUCAACUCGGAGGAAGGUGGGGAUGACGUCAAAUCAUCAUGCCCCUUAUGUCUUGGGCUUCACGCAUGCUACAAUGGCCGGUACAAAGGGCUGCGAUACCGCGAGGUGGAGCGAAUCCCAGAAAGCCGGUCUCAGUUCGGAUUGGGGUCUGCAACUCGACCCCAUGAAGUCGGAGUCGCUAGUAAUCGCAGAUCAGCAACGCUGCGGUGAAUACGUUCCCGGGCCUU